GAUGAAGAACGCAGCGAAAUGCGAUACGUAAUGUGAAUUGCAAAUUCAGUGAAUCAUCGAGUCUUUGAACGCACAUUGCGCCCACUGGUAUGCCGGGGGGCAUGCCUGUCCGAGCGUCAUUGCUGCCCUCAAGCACGGCUUGUGUGUUGGGCCCCGUCCUCCGAUCCCGGGGGACGGGCCCGAAAGGCAGCGGCGGCACCGCGUCCGGUCCUCGAGCGUAUGGGGCUUUGUCACCCGCUCUGUAGGCCCGGCCGGCGCUUGCCGAUCAACCCAAAUUUUUUAUCCAGGUUGACCUCGGAUCAGGUAGGGAUACCCGCUGAACUUAAGCAUAUCAAUAAGCGGAGGA
rnacentral:misc_RNA from 1 species